AUUGAACGCUGGCGGCAGGCCUAACACAUGCAAGUCGAACGAGUGGCGGACGGGUGUGUAAUGUCUGGGAAACUUCCUGAUGGAGGGGGAUAACUUCUGGAAACGGUAGCUAAUACCGCAUACCAUCAGAUGUGCCCAGAUGGGCUUAGCUUGUUGGUGGGGUAACGGCUCACCAAGGCGACGAUCCCUCGCUGGUCUGAGAGGAUGACCAGCCAAACUGGAACGGAGACACGGUCCAGAAUCCUACGGGAGGCAGCAGUGGGGAAUAUUGCACAAUGGGCGAAAGCCUGAUGCAGCCAUGCCGCGUGUAUGAAGAAGGCCUUCGGGUUGUAAAGUACUUUCAGCGGGGAGGCGGGAGCCGAAGAAGAAGCACCGGCUAACUCCGUGCCAGCAGCCGCGGUAAUAG
rnacentral:rRNA from 1 species